UACGGAGGGCGCGAGCGUUAAUCGGAAUUACUGGGCGUAAAGCGCGCGUAGGCUGUUGUGUAAGUUGGGGGUGAAAUCCCACGGCUCAACCGUGGAACAGCCCUUGAUACUGCGCGACUUGAAUCCGGGAGAGGGUGGCGGAAUUCCAGGUGUAGGAGUGAAAUCCGUAGAUAUCUGGAGGAACAUCAGUGGCGAAGGCGGCCACCUGGACCGGUAUUGACGCUGAGGCGCGUAAGCGUGGGGAGCAAACAGG
rnacentral:rRNA from 1 species